UGGUUCCUUCCUUCGGGUUGGUAUCGCCGCGUGGUGUUGGGAGCGUAGCCGCAGUAGGUCAGCGCAGGGGUGACACGGAAUGGGAGCCGGCCGCGGAGGUGGUUUUCCGUGGUCAAGCACGCAGCCAGUCAUGUAGGCAAAUCCGCAUGGCGUGCAUGGCGAGGUGUGAUGAUGGGAGCCGUUAUGGUUCGAUAUCCGGUUGUCCAGGCCGUCGAGAAAAGCCUCGGCGUGAGGGCCAUGGCCGCCCGUACCCCAAACCGACACUGGUGGUCAGGUAGAGAAUACCAAGGCGAUCGAGCGAAUCCUGGUCAAGGAACUCGGCAAAUCACUCCCGUGCCUUCGGUAUAAGGGAGACCCACUGGGGUGAAGGACCUUGCGUCCGGAGCUUUGGUGGGUGGCACAGACCAGGGGGUAGCGACUGUUUACCAAAAACACAGGUGCAUGCGAAGGCGAAAGCCGCUGUAUAUGCACUGACGCCUGCCCGGUGCCGGAAGGUUAAGAGGAUCCGUCAAUCCCUUCGGGGACGAAGCGGUGAAUUCAAGCCCCGGUAAACGGCGGUGGUAACUAUAACCAUCCUAAGGUAGCGAAAUUCCUUGUCGGGUAAGUUCCGACCUGCACGAAUGGCGUAACGACUUCCCCACUGUCUCGACCAGGAGCUCGGCGAAAUUGCAGUACGAGUAAAGAUGCUCGUUAAGCGCAGAAGGACGAAAAGACCCCGGGACCUUUACUAUACCUUGGUAUUGGCGUUAGGCGCGGAUUGUGUAGCAUAGGCGGGAGGCUUUGAAACGGUGGCGCCAGCCAUCGCGGAGCCGCAAGGUGAAAUACCGCUCUGUUCUCGUUUGACGUCUAACCUCGACAAGUCAUCCUUGUCAGGGACAGUGCCUGGCGGGUAGUUCAACUGGGGCGGUUGCCUCCCAAAGAGUAACGGAGGCGCUCAAAGGUCCGCUCAGCCCGGUUGGCAAUCGGGUGUCGAGUGUAAUCGCACAAGCGGGCUUGACUGCGAGGACGACGGUCCGAGCAGGGACGAAAGUCGGAGAUAGUGAUCCGGUGCCGGCGCACGGGCGCGGCAUCGCUCAACGGAUAAAAGGUACCCCGGGGAUAACAGGCUGAUCAUUCCCAAGAGUCCAUAUCGACGGGAUGGUUUGGCACCUCGAUGUCGGCUCGUCGCAUCCUGGGGCUGGAGCAGGUCCCAAGGGUUCGGCUGUUCGCCGAUUAAAGCGGCACGCGAGCUGGGUUCAGAACGUCGUGAGACAGUUUGGUCUCUAUCCUCUGCGCUCGUUGGAAUCCUGAGGAGGCCUGCCCAUAGUACGAGAGGACCUGGGUGGACGAACCUCUGGUAUGCCGGUUGUCGCGCCAGCGGCACGGCCGGUUGGCUACGUUCGGGAGGGAUAACCGCUGAAAGCAUCUAAGCGGGAAGCCUGCUCCAAGAUUAGGAUUCCGUACGGUCUUGAACUGUUGUAGCCCGCAUGUUGAACACGUGUUUGAUAGGCCGGAGGUGGAAGCCCCGUGAGGGGUGGAGCCGACCGGUACUAACGGGCGACGGCGACAUAA
rnacentral:rRNA from 1 species